AUGGGAGCGCGGCGGAUCCCGUCCCUUGCCGGUGGAAGGGCUCCAUUUUUAGAUGUGUCUUCGAGAUUUGUUAGGGUUUGUAUCCAACUCAGGAAGACGAGAUGGCGGCGGCUCCCUGGAGAUAGAAUAAGGUUCUCCCCAUGUCGUGGUGGGCUCACAGCAGAUGUCAUGGGAUGGCUAAAGAGAAGAACGGACAAGAGGGCACCGGUGGGCUCCAGAGGCGAGGUUGGUACGAGCGAGCGUGAGACGCAAGAUGUACCCAGGUUUGGGGUUCUCCGGAGAGAUAACACCCCUAGUUCUGUCGAGUGUGGUUUAUAUGUGGAGGAUACAAGCUUGCUCCUUGAGCUGUUCUGA
rnacentral:rRNA from 1 species